rnacentral:tRNA from 1 species
CGCAUAGCUCAGUUGGUUUAGAGCACCUGCCUUACAAGCAGGGGGUCGGCGGUUCAAAUCCGUCUGCGCC